UACGAGGGGGGCUAGUGUUGUUCGGAAUCACUGGGCGUAAAGGGAGCGUAGGCGGGAGCUCAAGUUGGGUGUUUAAUUCCGGGGCCCAACCCCGGGCAUGCACUCAAAACUGGGUUUCUUGAAUAGGGGAGAGGUCGAUGGAAUUGGAGGUGUAGCGGUGGAAUGCGUAGAGAUCUCCAAGAACACCGGUUGCGAAGGCGGUCGACUGGACCCAUAUUGACGCUGAGGCUCGAAAGCGUGGGGAGCAAACAGG
rnacentral:rRNA from 1 species